rnacentral:rRNA from 1 species
UACGAAGGGUGCAAGCGUUACUCGGAAUUACUGGGCGUAAAGCGUGCGUAGGUGGUUUGUUAAGUCUGUUGUGAAAGCCCCGGGCUCAACCUGGGAAUGGCAAUGGAUACUGGCAAGCUAGAGUGCGGUAGAGGGUAGUGGAAUUCCCGGUGUAGCGGUGAAAUGCGUAGAGAUCGGGAGGAACACCAGUGGCGAAGGCGGCUACCUGGACAGAUAUUGACGCUGAGGUGCGAAAGCGUGGGGAGCAAACAGG